CUGCACCGCGUGGCGAUUGGCGGACGGGUGAGUAACACGUAGGAAUCUGCCUGGUAGUGGGGGAUAACCCGGGGAAACUCGGGCUAAUACCGCAUACGCUCUACGGAGGAAAGCGGGGGAUCUUCGGACCUCGCGCUAUUAGAUGAGCCUGCGUCCGAUUAGCUAGUUGGUGGGGUAAAGGCCCACCAAGGCGACGAUCGGUAGCUGGUCUGAGAGGACGAUCAGCCACACUGGAACUGAGACACGGUCCAGACUCCUACGGGAGGCAGCAGUGGGGAAUAUUGGGCAAUGGAGGAAACUCUGACCCAGCAACGCCGCGUGAGGGAUGAAGGCCUUCGGGUUGUAAACCUCUUUCAGCAGGGGAAUUAAGCGAAAAGUGAAGGUACCUGCAGAAGAAGCACCGGCUAACUAUGUGCCAGCAGCCGCGGUAAUACAUAGGGUGCGAGCGUUAAUCGGAAUUACUGGGCGUAAAGCGCGCGUAGGCGGUUGACUAAGUCUGCUGUGAAAGCCCCGGGCUUAACCUGGGAACUGCAGUGGAUACUGGUUGGCUAGAGUAUGGUAGAGGGUAGUGGAAUUUCCGGUGUAGCAGUGAAAUGCGUAGAGAUCGGAAGGAACACCAGUGGCGAAGGCGGCUAUCUGGACCAAUACUGACGCUGAGGUGCGAAAGCGUGGGGAGCAAACAGGAUUAGAUACCCUGGUAGUCCACGCCCUAAACGAUGAGAACUAGCCGUUGGGGUCCGGUUUACGGAUUUAGUGGCGCAGCUAACGCGUUAAGUUCUCCGCCUGGGGAGUACGGCCGCAAGGUUAAAACUCAAAUGAAUUGACGGGGGCCCACACAAGCGGUGGAGCAUGUUGUUUAAUUCGAUGCAACGCGAAGAACCUUACCUACCCUUGACAUCCAAGAAUUUUUUGCAGAGAUGCGAAGUGCCUUCCGGGGAACUUGUGAGAACAGGUGCUGCAUGGCUGUCGUCAGCUCGUGUUGUGAAUUGUUGGGUUAAGUCCCGUAACGAGCGCCACCCUUAUCCUUAGUUGCCCACAGUUCCGCUGGGACUCUAAGGAAGACCCCGUGAUAACCCGAGGAAAGGUGGGGACGACCUCCAGUCAUCAUGGCCUAUGGGUAGGCUACACACCUGCUACCAUGCUUCCGGACAGAACCCGAUCCCCGAGGCUACCAUCUCAUAACCUGCUCAGUCAGAUCUAGCUCACUCGCCUACUG
rnacentral:rRNA from 1 species